ACAAAUCGUAUUUAAUCUUAAUUUUGAUCCAACAUCAUUGCCCAAACCCACAUUUUGGCACUAAAAAGCUAAAGACUGACCUAAAAGAGCAGACACCAGAUUCUUAAUCAUUCUUUUACCAUUCACACAGUCGAAACCACAACCACAGGUCGGACUCUCAUCGAAAUUACUCACCGGAAAGUUUGCGGAGGCGAUGCCGACCGAGAGUUCUAGCUCAUCGUCGUCACGAGUCACUGAGACAAGGCUCAGCCACAGAAAGAGCACCCUAACUUCGAUGCCACUCAAGCUAGAGAUCUUGUCAGUGGUUACAACACCGGUUAUGGUGGACUUGUACUUCAGCUUAUACGAGUCGAUGGUAAAUCUACAAGUGCUGUUCAAGUAGACUGAGAGCUCACUACGUCUUUGGGGAGUACGCCCUAAAUUAAUAAAAAAUAACUGCAUUUUCUCCCUCACUUGAGCCAAUUGAACAUACAUUAUCAUUAAAUCAUUAAUUUUCCACAACAAAACAUGUCACAGACGCAUGAACGAAAAUUAUUGAAAAGCAUAAAAUUCAUAAUCUUUAAGAAAUCAAGGUGUGAAGUUGUGAACAGACACUACCCGUAAUUCCAAACCCCUAAAACCCUCCCUCCUCUACGGCCCCAAUUCCCAAUUCAAAUCGAAGAAACAAGAGGCAUUUUAAUCUUCCUUACUUGUCCGCCAUUGACGCAAUCCAACCCGCACCCGCACUGCGGGCACUCGUAAAAAUUGUCGAUCGGAAACGCCGCCGACGCGAUCCCCACCGAGAACUCGAGGUUGUCGCCGCUCCGGGUCACCUCGACGAUGUCGAGCCACAGGAACAGGACCUUGACGCUGACCCCGGUCAGCGAGGAGAGCUUGUUCGGGGAGAUUGUGCCGGUAAUGGUGGACUUGUACUUGAGCUGGUACGAGCCUUCCAGCGAGAAGCUGCAGGAGCCGUUCAAAUACGCGCGGAAUCGGCCGUUGCCAUUGUCGAGCUCGUAUCCGGUGACGCCCUUCGGGAGCAGACCCAUCGGAAAGUUGAAUUCUUCGAUUGCAUCGUACACAGACCGCGAGCCGUCGCCGUUGGCGGAGGCGGUUGAUGACGUGUAGAACGGUGAUAGGAGGACGAAGACGGCGAGAAUUGUUGCGAGAGACAUGAUUUUUUCUCUCUCUCUCUCUCCGAAAUUUUGUUUUGUUGUUUUGUUUUUCCGGGAAAGUAGCUUUGUUUGGCACAGAAAGUCGGUUGGUUGUGAGUUGACUGAUAGCGGUGGACAAGAUAAAUUUGGUUGGUAGAAACGACGACGUAGAAAGGAAUUUGAAAUUUGUUAGUGGGCACGUGGUGUGGUGACCAUUGCGGUUAUAAGAAAGACGCGCUAAGAGCAAGUCCAUCCCUAAGGACUUUGUGCCAGCACAUAGCGCAUUUAUCUACUCAAUUGAACAGUAAUAGACUCCAGUGAACAAUAAUAGACCAAAGCAUCUCCGCCCCUAAAAAUACGCUGGCACCCAGUCUAUCUAAUAUUAUAUUAUUUUAUUCAUAUCAAUUAAUAUUUUAUCAUUUAUUUUAUUUUUUAUUUUUUAUUUUUUCUUCCUUUCCCUCUCCGAUCCUUUCUUUCUCUCUCUCUCUCCCUCUCUCUCUUUUCCAACUCACUCUCAUGAGCUCUCCUUCUCCUUCCUCUUCAAAACCUUCCAUUUCUGCACGCCAUCCACCCCUGCAUCUCCGACGCCAUCCACCCCUGCAUCUCCGACGUCGUCGACGCCAUCCUCCUGCAUCUCCACACCUCCGAUGCCGUCGUUUCGUCCUCCCGUCGUUCUCCCUCCGUGGUUCCUUCCCUCUCGACAUCUUCUCCCGCCUCGACCAGCUCCGCUCCUCAGCCUCCACAACAACUCCCUCUCUGACGUCAUAUGCCCUCCGACGCCACACUGACGUCAGAUAGGCCGGUCCCAAGGUCUGUCGAUUUUAGGUCGGCCUGUGGACUGGCUUGGGCUGGGUGCAAGUCGAUUUCACAGGCUGGAGUGAAUUGACAGGGUGCUAGCCUGGUUUUUUGACUGGGUGUUGGGCUCUCUUCUUCCUGGUGGACUUGCUCUAAGGAACGAGCAUCCUCACCGGAUUCUCUUUAUGAUUAUCUUGAAAGUCUUGAAUUUGAAUCUGUUUAUCAUACAUUGUGAGGUUAAUUUAGUCAAAUACUAUUUAUAUUUAAUUUUAAAUAAAAAUAUUUAAAAUAAUAUCUGACACACGAUAUACAAUAAAUAAACAUGAUUUAAAAAUCUCUAGAACCUUCGUAAUGAAAUUUAUUCUCUGACCUUGUUUUUUCCCUCCCCCCCCUGUUUUAUAAUCAAGGAAAGUAAACCGUGGACCAACCAUCCGAUUUUCAAUUUUGGACACAAGAUUUACAGAUUUAAGAGAAAAAUUUAGGGCCUGUUUGGUAUCUUAUUUGAAUUUUUUUAUCAUUUUUCAAAACAUUUCUUGAAAACAAUUUUCUUUAAGAUUCAAAAACUUGAUUGGUUUGCGAUUUAAAAUUUUUAAAUCUUACGAUUUAAAAGACAAAGAGAUCUAAAAGAGGGGGUCGGAAGAGAGAGAGAAAGAUGAGAGAUGAAGAAAUAAAGUAAGAGAUGAUUGAAGGAAAAAGAAAGAUGAGAGGGGAUCGGAUGAGAUACAGAGGAAGAGUAGUGAGAGAAAUAACCGAGAGAAUGAAGAGAGCGGAUUUGAGGAGAGACGAAAAAGGUAAAAAAAAAAGAGGAGAGAAAGAAGAAAAGAGAGAGAUAGAUUUGGAGUGAGAGGGAAGGAGGGAAAGAAAAGAAAGCAGUGAGUUUAAGUUUAAAAACUCUAAAAACUCAUUUUUUAUGUUUUUAGAGAAUAGACUAUAUUUUUGAGUUAGUCUUGAGUUCAAUUUUUGAAAAUAGUCCUACCAAACAAGUUUUUAAGGCCUAAAACUUGAAAAUUAUUUUUGAGUUUAAAAAGUUGGAUUCAAGUAGAGUACCAAACAUGCCCUUAUAUUUUUUCAGUAUUCAUAUGUGUGGUAAAAAAUUUAUUAAGUGAAAUAUAAUAAUAUUGAUAUUUUAAUAAACACAUGAAACUUAAAAAUCAAAAUUAUUUUCGAUAGGUAAUCUAUUUUUCUUUCAAAUAUUACAUAUUUCUUAAUUUUCCUCUUCUUGAUUAUGUAUGUUGCAAACGUGGAAAAAAAUGUAUUUGGUAACAAUACAGUUUGAUGUAAGUUGCAAACGUGGAAAAAAAAUGCUUCCUAUUAUUAAGGAAAUAUGGAUAUCAAUUGUGGAGAUAACUAACUGUUGACCCUAAAAACUACCAAGCCUACGUGGCGCGUAGGCUGAGUAAUCUAUGAGCUAACUACGUCAUUUGGUUGUAUGCGGGGAGUGCCAACUCGUCGGCCGAGCUCGGUCGAGGAGUAAAAUAUGUUGAUGUUGCGUUAGGUGCGCGGUUGACUUCUGCGUCUUACGAUUGCAACCAAGGAAGGAACACGUCUCGGCCUCUUGAGUUCUUGAACCUGAAGACAAGGCUACUAUUCUUACGAAGUUCACAAAUCGUCGUCGUCAGAUUCGGUCACAGUGAUGGUAUUCAUCAGAGUGAACUCACGCCGAAUCGACACCAAAGUGUAAGGGCACAAAUACUCAAAGCAAAUAUAAGUCUUAACAAUAAAUGUGGUUCAGCCGUCGGAAUGCCGAACUCUAAAUCCUACUUGAGAGUAUCCAAUCAUAAAAUAACUCGGCAUGCAAUGUGCCGAGCCCAAUAAACUGUAACACCUCACUUCGCCGAAAAGGCUAAUGAGAUGACUUCGACCAAUAAGGAUUCAGAAAUUCUUCUCGACCGAGACUUGAAUAGAUAAUCAGUCGCCCUCGACGCAGUGCUGUUUAUGCCAACUGAAGAUGCGGCGAGCUCGGCUAGUUCUACGGUGACAAUGCUAUUUAUGCCAACUGAAGAUAUCACCGGUUGCCUUCACAGUGCUGUUCAUUCAAACUGAAGGUGUGGCGGCGAAAAGAGAAAAGAAAAAUCUCAAGGUUGUUGAGAGAAUUUGUGCAGGGCAGUUGUGUGUUGAAUUUGAGGGGGGUUGUUUCGAUGUCUUCUCUUCCUAUUUAUAGCAGCCAACCUGUAUUGAAUCCCAUUCAUUCCUGGAUUAGAACUCCUUCUCAUAAUCCAUCUUUAUCUCGACCAAUCAUAUUCCUACUAGGACUUUGAACACAACUCAUUAUCAAACCGUGUUCAAUCUCAGCAUCCUGAUCCCGUCGAGACUCCAUCUCAUAACAGGAUUCAUCCACAUUCCUCUUUCCGAUAGGAUAUGGCCUACUUCAACCGCUCGACCCAUGGGCUGAAUAUCUUCUAAUGACACCUGUUUAUAACUUCUGGGCCGAGGAUGAAUCUAACCUCGGCCUAUCCCACACUGGGCCCAAAAAGAUCUAACUCAGCCCAAAACAAUAUUUUUGGGCCCAAACACUAACAUCUCACUUAUUUGAUGAAACUACUAUUACUGACAAAAACCAACUCUCCAUGAUAGAGGGAAAUUGGUGAAUGUUAAUCUAUAUAAGGACUCUCUGCUCGUAAAGAAAAGUUUUGCGUUAUUGGGUUCUAUCACCUUAAGAACAUUAAGUCUUUCAACGAGUAGAAGAUAUCAUUUUCCUGUUCUGCAAUGGCUACCUCAGGUAUCAUGUUGACAUAUGUUAGUAAUCUAGAAAACCUGUUAAUAUUAUGUACUCCUUGUUUUCCAACAUUUGGUAUUAGAGCCAAAUUAACAAAUCCUAGAUUCAAAUGUAUGUGUCGAACUGCAUAUGUUUUCAGCAUGUGAAUUUUUUUAUGAAAUGUGUUGAACCAAAGCACAUGACAGCAUCGGCGGCAGCACUUAUGCUUUCCAUUAUUCCAUCCGACAACACAUGACAGCACCAAUACUUCCAAUAAAAUGCAUGAGGUAGUCUUGCCUCAUAAGUUUUUUAAUAUCAUGCAACACUUACGAUAAUAUUUUGAAUUCACCAAAGUGAAUGAUUUGGAUGUAUAUUCUGGCAAAGAAGGGUUUAAAGAUUCAUUGCAUAUUCAUACUAUUUUCCAAAUGAAAGUAUAUAAAAUGCGUAAGGUUUCAAUGAAUCAUUCCUUGUAUAAUCUUGUAAUUAUCUUGUCCAAAGACUUGAUAUAUCUGUGCUAAAAGAUGAUUGAAGUGGUCAGAAUGUACAUGAUGACUUUGAAGGGGUGUUUAUAUUUCUAACCUAAGAGGGAUAUAUAAACACAUGCAAGUGAUGCAUGAAAUUAAAAUUGUAUUUAAUGUUUUAUUUGGCUGCCUCAGCAACAUCAUCUGCACUUAGCCUUUCAUCGAUCGAGCCUCUUAAUGGGGGAAACUUUAAAUUGGUGGUAGUUUUAAUCAAUGUAUGGUAUCAUGUAGAUCAGGUAAUAUUCUUGUCCAAAGACUUGUAAUAAAUGCAUGAUAAGAUUCUUGAAUGAUGGCUAUACAAUGAAGGUCAAUGGCAGCUUAUAUCUCUUGCCCAAAGGUGUGAUAUAAACAUGCAUUUAACAAUCACUAAUGGUUGUUUCAAGUUUUUCAUGUCUUCAACAGCCAAAUUUUUAUUCACUGCAAGAAAAGGAAAGUCAAAGGCUCUUCUUGAUGGGUGUAGAGGUUGCGUACACCCAAGCGCACCAGAUUGUAAGUAUCACUAAAUUUUGAUGUAUUUAUGAGUGAUUUAAUCUAAUUGGCAUCUGAAUUUUGAUGGAAUCAACCUAUCACUAUUUUGGUUUAAUCUGAUCCAAAACCCCUUAGUUUUCUUGUUAUCAAGUUAUCAAUUGCUCAAAAAUUGUAUGUGUGUGAGUAACUGAAGUGAAAAAUAGAAAUACUUGAUAUCGUUUUGUAGUGCAUGUAAUUGAUUCAUCUAUGGGAGUAAGAAUCAUACAUGUUAUUUCUAUAUGUGAUUGAUGCCUGACAUAACCCUUACAUGGGUAAGUCUGUUGCCUUUGAUUUCCAUUUGAAUGGGUAAAGUAAAUUCAUGUAAAUCAAGUUCUUAGCCUGCUGUGCUCUAUGAUAAUGUAUAGUUAAUAUAUAUUAACUGAAUUGAAUAGCCAUAUUAUUGGUUGCUGUGGGAAAUAAUCAAUAUGGAUUAAAAAUCUCGAGUUCUGCAAACAUGAAGCAAAAUUGACAUAUUGUGUGUUUAAAUAAGGAAUGAGUUGUCCUACAUUGCUUAAGCUUGAGAUGAACCAAUGCAAAGGCACAAAUAUAUGUAUAAAGUAUAACCUUGUAGUAUCAACUUGUGUACAAAUGUUUUUCACCAAAGUGAAGAGACUUCAGGAAAUGGAUUGUGUAAAUUAUGAAUUUAAAACUCAACACGUCAAUAUUCUUUUCCAAAGAGAGGAAUGUGUGAAUGGUUUGUGAUCUUUUAGGGUAUAACAUUUUUACGGCUAUUGAAAUGUGGGAGUGCAUGAUAAGGAUGCCCACGUAGCAAACAUGGGUGUGCAUGAUGGUUUUGAAUCAACUGAAAUGUGGGAGUAAAGAAAGCGCUGCUGCGUAAUUUUGAUAGUAUCUGGACCUGAUGCUUGGCUUAUCUUAUUUUCCCUGUGGUUAUUGUAAAUAAUGCCAUGUUGAUUCAGUUUAUAAUAUAUAUUAGUACAACUAACUUAUGUUCCAAAGAGCAUGUUGGUUUUGUAUGAGUAUGCAGGAAGCUUGAAAAGCUAGUAUCCAGUGAUUAAGGUUGAAGGCAACAUAAAGUUAGCUUUAUAAAGGUACACUGGGUAAUUGCAUGUAUGAAUGUGUAGUAUUUGCAUGAUUGUCAGUAUGCCAUUACAAUUAUGAAGUGAUGGUUGAAGACUGAGUUGCAAUAAUAAAUAUGCAUGUGCUGAAUCUUUAUGAUUAUUCCGAGUUAUAUAGCUUAUAUAACACAAAGUGGUAUAUGAUUUUCAAUUCAGUAAAGGAACUGUGAUUAUCCAAAGAUGAUCCAUAAAGUUGAUUGAAUUGAUUCAUAGAAAAAUGAAUGUUAAGUUCAUUGAAAGUUUGACAUCAUACAUAUUAGAUUCAAAUGACAGUGAUUUUAGAGUGCAUGUGCCAAUGAGCUGCACAUGGUUUUUUAGAGUUCGACAUUUGAACUAAUACUAGUAGAUGUGGGGAAGCAAGUUACGUGUAACUGGAUGUGAUCACUAAGGAGUCAAUAUUGUAAUUGUGAUAACAUUUCGAUGAAAUGAUUAGUUUACGUCCAAGUGGGAGAAUGCUAGAGACUUAAUUGGACUAAACUAUCAUUUAGUGAAGGACAACAUUUAUUUGGUAACAAUAUAGUUUGACGUAAGCUGCAAACAUGGAAAAAACUGCUUCCUAUUAUUAAGGAAAUAUGGAUAUCAAUUGUGGAGAUAACUAACAUCCCAAUUAUUUGAUGAAACUGCUGUUACUGACAAAAACCAACUCUCCAUGAUAGAGGGAACUUGGUGAAUGCUAACCUAUAUAAGGACUCCCUGCUUGUAAAGAAAAGUUCUGCGUUAUUGGGUUCUAUCACCUUAAGAACAUUAAGUCUUUCAACGAGUAGAAAAUAUCAUUUUCUUGUUCUGCAAUGGCUGUCUCAGGUAUCAUGUUGACAUAUGUUAGUAAUCUAGGAAACUUGUUAAUAUUAUGUACUCCUAGUUUUCCAACAGGUACUAUCUACACACUCUUAUUUUUACUUUUCACACCUUAUUAAUUUUGGUUCUUUGAUAUUUUAUUCUUCAAUUCAUUUGACCAGACUGUUGUAAAUUAAAAGUAUGUAAAAGGUAAUAAAGAAAAUGUAAAUACCAUUAUUCUUGAUUAUUCAAUACAAUGAUCAUAAAUAAAAUGUUGUAAGAAGCUAACAUCCACUUUUUAUGCAUGUUGAUAAUUACCCUUUUUCUUCCUUUCUUUUUUUUCUUUUUCGUUCUUUCCCCACAUUUUGGCCUCUAUUGCUCAACCUAUAGUCUGCAAGCCAAAAUGUUUUGCAACAACCAUUCAAACUGGUAUACUCAAGUUCAUAACCUUGGCGGCCUCCAGAUCGGAGUUUCAUAAAUCAUACAGAGAAGCAAGUAAACAUUCACUAACAAAUGACAUAGUCGUACAUUUAUUUAUUCACAAAUCGUAUUUAAUCUUAAUUUUGAUCCAACAUCAUUGCCCAAACCCACAUUUUGGCACUAAAAAGCUAAAGACUGACCUAAAAGAGCAGACACCAAAUUCUUAAUCAUUCUUUUCCCAUUCACACAGUCGAAACCAACCACAGGUCGGACUUUCAUCGAAAUUACUCACCGGAAAGUUUGCGGAGGCGAUGCCGACCGAUAAUUCUAGCUCAUCGUCGUCACGAGUCACUGAGACAAUGCUCAGCCACAGAAAGAGCACCCUAACUUCGAUGCCACUCAAGCUAGAGAUCUUGCCAGUGG
rnacentral:lncRNA from 1 species